UAAUAAAUCAAAACUUUCAACAACGGAUCUCUUGGUUCUGGCAUCGAUGAAGAACGCAGCGAAAUGCGAUAAGUAAUGUGAAUUGCAGAAUUCAGUGAAUCAUCGAAUCUUUGAACGCACAUUGCGCCCGCCAGUAUUCUGGCGGGCAUGCCUGUUCGAGCGUCAUUUC
rnacentral:rRNA from 1 species